AGGAGCGACGAUGAAAAGGGGGGGCUCGGCUGUGAGACUGCAGCACAACGCGCAGUGACGCGCUGCGUCCACUGGGGGAGGACCGAGCGCCGCCUGCGCCCGCUGCGACGCAGGAACCGCUUUCUCACCGAGAUUCUCCAUCAUCACUCAGGAUGGGAGGGAUGCAGGAGUAUAGGUAGGGAUACAGAGGCAGACAGACAGACGCAUGAUGCUCACACUUAGCCGGGGGGUCGUUUCUUCCCCCCCCAUCAUCAACGCCGUGGUAAACUUUCCCCCCACCCUCCGUUCUUUUUUUGAUUGCGCGGAGCUGUCACUAAUGCCAACUCCCUAUUCGCACACCUGAUUCUCCUCCUCCCCCCUUUUUUAUUUUUCCCUAAAAGCUGAAUGUUGCCUCCAUACAGUGAGCGAUGCUGCAGGAACGGGGGCUGAAGUGCCAAUAGAUCCUGUUGAAUUGAGACAAGACGUCGAGACGCAGCCCCUAAAAAAAAGUGUCAUCUCCAGAGUGCGUCAGAGCACGGAUGUAUAUACUGGAUGUGGAUUUUGGUCGCUGGCUGGACACGACGAGGGAUUUUGGGAUGUUAACGUCCAACAAUUCCAACAGGAAUUUGAGAAAAAAAUGUACAUCCUCCUCCUCCAGCAGGUUUGUUUUGGCUGUUGAGGCGCUUCGAUUUGGCACCUUUUCAGACCUUCUGCUGAACACAUGAGGAAUAAAAGUCCUUCUGCGUAACUGGGAGUCUAUAAUACAUCAGAGAAUAUUUUUCUACCAAUUUCUUUUUACGAAAAUGGCACCACGGGGGAGCGAUGGACGCAUUUGGGCGCAAGCGCCAAUCUUUGGGAAAUUAACCACCUGAUGGGCUCCGGAGAAGCAGCGGACAGACUGCUUUGGUGUAGCUUGUUGACUCGGUGAUUUAUAAUGCUGAGCUUAUAGAGGAGGGAGGCUGCAACUUUUGUCAGAGCGCCUGCGUAACAGGCGAUUGCGCCGGCCUUGGAUUAAUUUUUUUCCCUUUUUUGUGAUGCUAAUGAUGUCAUGUAAUCCAACAUGAGAAGAUGGGGUUUCAGACCCCCCUUAUCUGUGAGGAGCUUCCCUGAACCUGAAGCAGACUGAUGUUUCUUGAGCUGACUGGUUGAUCGGAACGGUUCAUGCCUUAUUCGCCCUCCCUGCGCGCGCCGGGCUCCAACUUUUUCUCCUCUGCUGUGCGUCCACAUCACCUUGAGGCGGUUUCUAUAGCGCCCAGACAGACUUAAGAUGGAGUUUGCCAUGGUGGGCGCGGACGGCGGGUGCAACAGUCACUUGCCAUACGGGUAUGCCCAAGCGCGGGCGCGUGAGAGGGAGCGCGAGCGAGAGCGCCAGGCGGCUCAGUCCAGAGCGGCCGCGGCUGCGGCGGCGACCGAGGGGGGUUCUGCUGCGGAGGGAGGAGGAGGAGGAGGAGGCCACGGAGGGGGGUCCAUCUCCACCACCACCACCUCCUCGAGCGCUCAUCUCCUUAACAACCGCCAGCAUCAGUCUCGCGCCGCCUCCUCCUCCAUCAGCGGCGGCGGCACCGCCUCGCGCCCCUCCUCCUCCUCCUCCUCCACCUCCUCCUGGCACCAGCAGGAGCCCGAGCAGCAGCAGAGAGUUCUCAGAGAGCGGAAAAAGCAGCGCGGCGUCGGACGGUGGAGACGCAACCGGGCGACUCUCGGCGGAGACUUGCGCCACUCGGAGCUGGCGCUGCUCGGAUCGGAGGAGGACAUCAUGAUAGAGGAGGAGGAGGAAGAGGAGGAAGCAGAGGAGGAGGAGGAGCAGCGGCAGCAGGGGGGCCGGGGAGACAAGAGCUUUCUGUGCAACAUGGAUGAGGAUGAGGAGACCGUGUCCAUCACGGACAGGCGCCCCCAGUCCGGCUACGAGAGCGCCUACAGCGAGUGCGGCGGCUGCUGCGAGAGGGUCGUCAUCAACGUUUCAGGUCUGAAGUUUGAAACUCAGCUGAAGACUCUGACUCAGUUCCCUGACACUCUGCUGGGAGACCCCGACAAGCGCAUCCGAUACUUCGACCCGCUCAGGAACGAGUACUUCUUCGACCGGAACCGGCCGAGCUUCGACGCCAUCCUCUACUACUAUCAGUCGGGGGGGAGGCUAAAAAGACCCGUCAACGUGCCGUUCGACAUCUUCUCCGAGGAGGUGAAGUUCUACGAACUCGGGGAGGAGGCGAUCCUGAAGUUUCGGGAGGACGAGGGCUUCGUGAAGGAGGAGGAGAAGCCCCUGCCGGAGGACGAGUUCAAGCGUCAGAUCUGGCUGCUGUUCGAGUACCCGGAGAGCUCCAGCCCGGCCCGGGGCAUCGCCGUGGUGUCCGUGCUGGUCAUCGUCAUCUCCAUCGUCAUCUUCUGCCUGGAGACGCUGCCGGAGUUCAGGGAUGAGAAGGAGUACCUGCAGCCGCGCCACAACUCCUCCGAGCCCGACCACGGCUUCACGCCCUUCAACGACCCCUUCUUCAUCGUGGAGACCGUCUGCAUCAUCUGGUUCUCCUUUGAGAUCAUAGUUCGCUUCUUCGCGUGCCCCAGCAAGACCGCUUUCUUCAAAAACAUCAUGAACUCCAUAGACAUUGUCUCCAUUUUGCCUUACUUCAUCACCCUCGGUACGGACCUGGCGCAGCACCAGGGCAACGGCCAGCAGGCCAUGAGUUUCGCCAUCCUGAGAAUAAUCCGCCUCGUGCGGGUGUUCCGCAUCUUCAAGCUGUCCCGCCACUCCAAGGGGCUGCAAAUCCUGGGUCACACCCUGCGCGCCAGCAUGCGGGAGCUGGCGCUGCUCAUCUUCUUCCUGGUCAUUGGGGUCAUCCUCUUCUCCAGCGCGGUGUACUUCGCCGAAGCGGACGAGCCCACCUCCCAGUUCACGAGCAUCCCCGACGCGUUCUGGUGGGCCGUGGUCACCAUGACGACGGUGGGCUACGGGGACAUGAAGCCCAUCACCGUCGGGGGGAAGAUAGUGGGCUCCCUGUGCGCCAUCGCGGGCGUGUUGACCAUCGCGCUCCCGGUGCCUGUCAUCGUGUCCAACUUCAACUACUUCUACCACAGGGAGACCGACAACGAGGACCAGACGCCCGUGGUGGAGAGCAUGCCUCCGGGGUGCCCGUAUUUCCCCGACUUUCUAAGGAAGUUCAAAGGCUCGCCCUCGGGCUCCUCGCUCGGGGACAAAGCGGAGUACAUGGAGAUGGAGGAAGGGGUGACGGAAUCGCUCUGCGGGCUGGACAAAAGCCCCAGUAAAGGAAACGGCACAGACAUAAGCAGGAAAAACAGCACUAACUCUAAAUCUAUUCAGACAGACGUGUGAUUUUUUUCUCCUCUUUUUUUGCCCAACAUCAGGUGACUACCACUUUUACGCAACUUUUACGCACCGUCCAAACUCCCCAAAACGCACACAUCUAUCCAUCCAUUCCAUAUUUUUUUUCUUAACACCAACAUAUAGAUUCAUCUGAGCUGUGCGGGCUUCCAAAUAAAAAAAGUCAAAUUCCACAGAAGAGACAGGCUAUGCAUUCGCACUUUAUAAGUUUUUCUGUCACAUCCGAGGGGUAGGGACGAUCGGUUUGCUGUUAUGCAAUAAAAGUUAUCAUUUGUUUGCACUAAAGUAGUAUUUGCGCUGGAGGUUCCUAUAGAGACAGAAAACUGUAGGCCAUGCAGAUGGCAAAAUUUUAGGCAUAACAUUGCUUGAAAUAACGCUCCAAAAACCCAAAGUGAGCAUAGAAAAAAAGCUUGCCGGUUUAACUGGACUCCAUACAAGAAAAAAAGGCAAGACGUAAUUUUAUCUGCUCCAACACUUAAAAUAUAAACGUAUAUUCAGAAUUGAUAUAUAUCUUUUUCAGGAGGUAUUCCUUUAAAGAGUCAGGGCUACAAAGACAUAUAUCCCCUUCCUAUCCAGAACCAAACAAAAUCCUCACCAUGAAAAGAGUUAAGCACAUGCAUCAUCAUUCAUGGCUGGAGAAAUGACUCGCCGCAGGUCAUAUGGACGUUUUUGGAGCUUUGGCAUCAACAAUUUAUUUUUUAUUUAUUUUUAUUUUUUCCUCCACUCUCAUUUAAAUCACCUCAAAAUGACAAUAUCCCUUUACACGGACGAAGAUGGAAGGUUAUAGCAAAAACGACUGUUGUGGAAAAUUCUUCAAAGGAGAGUUUUACGCGCAAUUCCUUUUUUCUCAAGUCAAUGCACAAGCGUACAUGGCUCAGAAAACCAGCGGGAUAAGGAUGUCUUCCAAGUGCUGCCAGUAACAAGAAGUGAGCAAGAAACUCCCUCUCCCCCGACACGUCCGGAAACCGAAGAGAACAAGCGAAACAUUGUGACCCCAUCGACGGCGGCGCGAGCGGACUCUGCAAAGCGUCAGCGGAACGGGACUUUUGGAAACUUUUGAGAGGAGAUCAAAGCUGCUGUUAUGUCUCAGUGGACAAACCUUCAUGGGUUGAGACUGGAGGUGGCAUAGAGUAAGUCGUGACCCCACCCCCCACUCCCCCCAAAAUGAUUGCCUUAAUUGCUACAAAUACAGACGUAAGAAGCGACAAUACUGAGAGACUUAUAAGAACUUACAGAUGUUUUCUUUACAUGUGAAAAAAAGUGUCUUGUAUGGAACAGAUGUGAAUAUUUUAAUAAGAUAGAGAAAACAUUUGGUUGUACCGUCAACAUGUUUUAGUUGGGUCGGCUUUGUAGGUGUCAUUAAACGGUGAGGCUGCUCUCUGCUUUUAUGCAGCCGGCACUUUUUACCUUGUUUCGUACUUCCAGCCUCACUAAGGCUGGCCUCUGUUGUUUAAUCAAAUGCUGGCAAAAAAAACAAAACAAAAACAAAAAAAAACACCUUAAUUCCCCAUCACAGCACAUACAAUCCUCAUUCAGACAAUGCAUGAAUGGUUGGGAGACCCUUUCUGGUUCAAUGCAGCACUCAGAUGGAGAACAUCCAUUACAAUCCACUUAAGCAAAGAUGUCAGGAACAUAAACAUCCAUCACAAAGAUCUGCCAUUUCUACCAUAGACAACUGGCAGAUAAAAAUGGGUGAACAUAAAGACAAAAGUACUUUUAUUAUUAUUUAUAAUUUUUUUUUUCCACAGAUGCAAAUUUAGAGCCGACCAGCUGCUUUGUUGAUAUGUUUUCACUCUAAAUUUACCUGUAUGCAAAAGUAACAUGUGUUCUAUAUUUUUUUAAACCUAGCCUUGAUAAUUACAUAACCAAAGGUGAAACCCUGAGUUUAUUGUAAGUUGUGGACUUCUGGAAAAUGUUGUGACAUAGAUGCACACUGAUUAGGGAAAAAAAAUGUAAAUAUCAGACAUUUAUACUUGUGUGUCAGAAGAUGUGUUUCAGAUAGAGUAAUUUGAGACUUUUUACUUUCUUUGACUGUUAGAACCAUCAACCAUAAUGGUCUGUAUUUGGUUUGUCCUCGCAGAUACAAUCAUGUUCUUAUUGUUACGAAUGCUGCUCCGACGUUCCUCAUCAAUCAUGUUUUUGGAAAUGUCAUUUUCUUUUGCCUGUUUUUGUUUAUUUGUUUUUUUACAUAUAUAUAUAAAUCCCUGUUGGAAUUUUACCAUCUUGUUUGUUUUGCUCUGUCAGAAACUAAAAUGCUGCUGUUGUUCGAGCAGCCUUGUUGGAGAAAUGUUGACUUGAGUGGUGUUACGUUCACACCGGCCUCGGCAAUGUGCGUUCUAGAGACCAUUUUCAAAGAAAAAAAGUCUAUGAUCAAAACUCUUGUGUUCAUGCGUAGCUACACAAGUUUUCAAGACCCUUUUUUGGGUUCUACGUACAAAACAUGCAACCAUCAAACACAUAUUGACAGUUAAACAAGUUGACCAAUCAGGGACUCGGAUUUGGUAGAGACGUACAGAUGCCAUCCUUUUCAAAACAUGAAAAUACCACACUAUUAAAAAUUCAUAACGGAGGAGAAAUCAAUAAUUGGUGUUUUUACCCGGCCAGAAUUCUAUGACAACAUGUCUUUUAUACAUUGUAAUAUAGCUGUGAAAAAAAAUGCCAGGAACAAGAGUCACAAGAUUUGCAUCACUUCUGUACCACACUGCACCGGACCUCUUCCAACUGUUGGUACCGACGCAUUCUUAUUCCUGAGUUGUCACAUUCUGAUGCAUAGUUAAGGACCUCUCCGCAUCAAAAAUGUACAUUUGGGUGUCCCUAAUCGUUGUUUUUUGACAUGCUGGCUGUUCCAAUUAAAUCAAGGCCCACCCACAAACCGGUACCGAGAUGUGGACCACACCGGUACCCUGAAGUGUACACUAAAUCCUACCCUCCAAUGGAGGGUAGGGUCCAAAUGCUUUCCUUCUAACCCUAACCUUAACACAAUACCGGACACAGAUCAGUAUGGGUACCAGACACAGAUCAUUACCAGACGUGAAUCAGUACCGAUACAAGAUGUGGAUCAGUACCAGACAGGGGUCAGUAUUGGUACCAGACGCAGAUCAGUACCGGUACUGCGGAUUGGUACAGCGUACCACCAGCUAGCCCAGUCCACGUCAGUACUGGUUCCUUACGCGGAUCAGUACCAGAUGGGUCUGAUCAGUACCAUAUACGUCACGUGGUACGCGGUACCAAUCCACAUCUGGUAACAGCACUGAUCCGCGUCUGGUGCCAAUCUACAUCUUAUACCGGUACUGAUCUGUGUCUGGUACCAAUCUUCAUCUGGUACCGGUUCUGAUCCUUGUUCAAUACCCAACCGUGGAACACGGUACCGAUCCCCAUCUGGUACCAGUAUUGAUCCGCGUCUGGUACCGGUACUGUCGCGGACUGGGCUACGGUUUGGGUGCUGGGUUUGGGUACCGGCCACAUCCCGUGGUUCAGACUGCAUCCAGUUCCGCGUUUGACAAAACGUCUGAACCCCUGAUGCAAUUGGAACAGCCUGCGUGUCAAAAACGACGAGUUGUGGAAACCCCAAACAUCAAAACGUGACACAGAAGGGUCCUUAACCAAACGCCAAAAUAUGUGACGAGUUGUGAAUGAGAAUAUCUAAUCGGUACAUGUGCUAGUAUCAGGUACCAAGAGUCCAGUGUGAACAUCACGCUUUUAGCGUUUUCUUGAACGCGCAUCACAUUCCCGGUGCGAACGUAGCACUACAUAUACUAGACCUUUCAAUGAAAUGUUUAGAGAUGUCCACUGACAUGCCAGUAGUAGUAGUAAGUGAUAUCCUAUAUUUUUAUGAAGACGGUGUUUUAUUUUCCUAAAUAAUUUACUUUCAGAACAUCCUUUACAUUGUUUGCUAUAAUAGCACCUAAAGGCUUGAAUCUAGAGUUACGUGUGUGUGUGUGUGUGUGUGUGGGUGUGUGUGUGUGCGUGUUGGAGAAAAUCCAAAGUUGGCAUUCUUUGACAAUUUUCUUCCCUUAAUACCUCAUAAAGGGUAUUCUUCUGAACAAAAAUGUUUCAGUUUUCCUUAGUGUCAAACGUUUACAAAUCAAUAUUUAGUUUUGUAGAGAUGUCAGGAGGACCUGUUCAGGGUGUGCCCCGCCUGCAGGACCCCAGCGGGGUCUGGAGAUGGAUGGAUAGAUGUCAGGAGCUUCUUGUGGAAGGUGGUAGGAAGUUACCAAAUACCUGCUAUUCCAUCACACUUUAAUGAUCAAUUGGUUGAAAAUGCAUACAACAAAUAAAUGUUUUAAGUUAUGGUCAUAUGAACAAAAGCUGGAAGUCUUCAAACCUAUUCCCACCUCUUCCUGUCAUUACACCUCCAAUUGUGCACAGAUUGCAAAAACAAGACUAACAUCCUUCAUGGAUAGAGGUGCUGGCAGGCUGAAGCAGAGCCAGACCAAAUACCAAAUACUGGUUUAUUAUUGAGCGUAUUACGACAUAUUCACACCACUGACGUAGAAGACAAAAAUGAGAGCGAUAAUACUCAUGUCAACAAUUUUUUUCCAGAGUUGGAUUAAAUGAAAACAUAGUCAGUGUGAAAAAAUACAUCCCCUGGAAUGAUUUUGUUACACUGAUCUUGUCAGAUUACGCGCCUGAAGCACAAGCUGUUCCACGCUCGCAGCGCUCCAUCAGCGGAGGCCUCAUCAGUCUGGGGAGUGUGGAGUUGGAAUAGGGGGUUUGACCCAGGGACUCUAAUCUGAACAUGAGCUCACAGGGUGUUUACAGACCUGAGAUGUAGCUGCAGAACUAAUCAUACAGACAUUAAAUGGUGGUUGGAAGUCAGCCUUGGCUGUACGUUAAUAAGGGACAAAUGAGUCAGCUGCAAACAUGCAGUGGAAAAGGAUAACUCGCCGCUGGGUUACUACGAGUACGACGAGCGCCUCAGAACUGAUACUGGAAGGAGCCGCAACCAGUCAAGGAGAACACUUCAGGACACCUCCAGACAGUUUCUUUAGUCUAUGCAUUGGAAUAAUUUAUUAGGAGGACACUGAGACAGCUUUAAUCACUGGAGCAGGAGGAACCAAUUAAGAGGCCAUGUAAAGAAGAACGAGGCGAACAAAGGUCAGGCUGUACACGCUGAGGCUGAACGAACAGAAACGGCGGCGUGAGCGGGGGUCAAAUGAAUACAUGGAAUAACAUCCAUGUAGGUGUUUUUCUGAGCAGAACUCGAAACACCAGAACAGUUUUCUGUUUUUACCCAUGAAGGAUGCUAGGAGGCUGAAAUCGUUCGCUGUCAUUUAGUCUGGCCUUCAGUCAGGUCUUAUUAGGCAUUUGGAUUGUACGGUGGCCCUGAAGUACAAAACACAACAACAAAUUACUUAAAGUCACAUGCGAUGAAAAAACUUUUUUUUUUUUAGUUUGAACAUGUAUGUGUGGCAUUUUUCUUAUGAAAGAGA